UUGGAGGGCGCGCUGUUUGGUCGGUUAAGAAGCCAUGGCCAGUGCUGCGGCCACGAAAAAGAGAAGAUGCACUUUUAAUACGAAUGGACCACAAGAUACUCUUGGUUAAGACCCGUAGAUGGUGAAGCAGAGAGAGCUUUUUGUAUUUUAUGCAAAAGCAGUUUUUCUGUGGGACAUGGUGGAGAGUACGAUGUGAAGCGACAUGGUGCAAGUGCAUUCCAGUGUGUGCCCUUGGGUUGUGUUCACAUGCAAGGGGCCUUUUGAUGAUAAUUGUCUUGGGAUUCAGAGAGCGGCGAGAGAGACUCUGUACUCAUGUAUUGCAUAUAUAUUAUAUAUAUAUAUAUAUAUAUGUAAGUAAAUCAAAACCAAAUAAUUUACAAGCUUUUAACUUAAUGAGGUGCAAUGGCAAGGUAUCUAACACCGGAGACGUCCUUGGUGAAUCUGCCUCUGGCUGGACAUUACUUUACAGUCCUUUUUAAAGUCCAUCAACUUUUUGACAUGUUCAGAAAUCCCCUCCUGGAAACUCCCUCUGCAUACAUUCAGUCUUUUACAGCCAAUUGGUCAAACACAAAAUCUUGAACUGUCAUUAUUUCUUGAAGACCCCUUAGGACUUUUGCAUAUAAAACUCUUUGUCUCUUUGUCCUCUUUUUCUGGACCUUUCCAUCAUCGCUGUAUCUUCUGUAUCUCGUCCGCAACACAUAGACGUUAAUGAUGGCAUUUUUCUCCUUUCUUUUGCAAAGCUCUUUCUAAUACAUUUUCAACUCCUCUCUACUCUGCCACCAUCAUCUGCUUAAUAAAUGCUUACAACAUUCAGUGUGGUAUGUUUUUCUUUAUAAACCAGCUUCAUAAUAAAAAUCUUUAUAAAACAAGUUGAGGUGUUUUUCUUAAUAAAUUAUUUUCUCAAUAUAUGGUUACAAUGAUUAUUAAUACAAGUGUUUUACAGUAAACACUUUCUUAAUAAAUUGUUUAACAACUACUUAUGGUACCUUUCAUUAUAAAACCACUUUUUAUUAGUUACAAUUGUGGUUUACUAUGACCCAUAAAUACUUCAUAUACCAAAAGCCAUGAUUAGAAUACAAUAAUUGCAUAUUUCACAACAAUAUCCACAUAUCUGCAUCUAUAUAUCUGUCUUAGUUGACUUGUAUAAGUUUGAGGGUCAAUUUAUACAUAAUUUCACCUUAUUUUCAUUAAGUGAACAUCUCAUGUGUAUUUCUUUAGGGAGUGGAGUAAAGGGGCAUAUUAUCUUUCCUGCUUUCCUGGAGUGAAAUGUUUUAUCAGCCUGUUAAGGUGGACUGCUCUUCUGAUAAUGAGCUCAGGCCUUCUUCAGCCUCGAAGAGAACUGUUGUUUGUCAGUGUUCUGUGUGUGUGUGUGUGUGCGUUUGAUAGUCUUUGCAGGUUCUGAACUUUGUGAUAUAGCCUAAAACAUUCUUGGACCCUGGAAGAAGGUCACCACGGACUUAAAUCUCGGAAAUGGACGACAAAUAUUCAGAUUAAUGGCGAUAUACCCACUUAUCUAUCAAAAAUGUAUUAUUUUUUAGACUUUAUGUUGUCUUAGCCAAUCAGAAGUAAAUGAUUAUGUAAUGCAUGUCCUUGUAAAAGGUAUACUUGUGUGAGAUUUGUUUGUAAGGUAGAGUUGGCUUGCGACCUCCUUGUGACUUUGACGCUGGCUCUACCAAUUUAACUGCAAACUCUUCUUCAGUAAAAUUUUACUUAUCUCAUUGAA